rnacentral:rRNA from 1 species
CGCAUCUGUGCAUGCAGCAUAUCAAUAAGCGGAGGAAAAGAAACUAACAAGGAUUCCCCUAGUAACGGCGAGUGAAGCGGGAAGAGCUCAAAUUUGAAAUCUUAAAGGGUUUCCCUUUACGAAUUGUAGUUUAAAGAAGGUGUUUUCUGUUGAGGUUUUGGUAAAAGUUCUUUGGAAUAGGACAUCAUAGAGGGUGAGAAUCCCGUAUUUGACCUUUACUUUCAACUUUGUGAUACACUUUCAAAGAGUCGGAUUGUUUGGGAAUGCAGUCCAAAAUGGGUGGUAAAUUUCAUCUAAAGCUAAAUAUUGGCGAGAGACCGAUAGCGAACAAGUACCGUGAGGGAAAGAUGAAAAGAACUUUGAAAAGAGAGUUAAACAGUACGUGAAAUUGUCAAAAGGGAAGCGUUUGACACCAGUGUUGUUUUUCUGAAAAUCAAUUAAAGAACUGUUUAUGCUAAGCUGUUUAGACUUUAUCAGCUAACUGUUUAGUUUUGAGCUUUUCUUUAAUGCACUUUUCAGUUAACAAGUCAACAUCAAUUUCUUUUGCUGUAGAAAAGCUUGAGGAAGGUGGCUUGAGAUUCGUCUUAAGUGUUUAUAGCCUCUUGCCUAUGCAGUCGGAGAGAUUGAGGUCUGCAGCGUAGAUCCUUCGGGGCUAAAUGCAUUUGUGCUAAGUUAUAGCAUUUUAUAGACAACUUGUUGACUAUGAUUUGUCUUGUAGCUUACUCGCUUAUGUUAUUUUACCUACGCUUAGGAUGUUGAACGCGCACAGAGUCUC